rfam:Erythranthe guttata cultivar DTN x IM62 scaffold_1382_contig_1, whole genome shotgun sequence.
AUACCUUUCUCGGCCUUUUGGCUAAGAUCAAGUGUAGUAUCUGUUCUUAUCAGUUUAAUAUCUGAUAUGUGGGCCAUUGGCCCACACGAUAUUAAAUUAAUUUUUUAAGGGGGAAAGCCUAUCAAGGUAGCUUGCUGCUUGGGCUUUCGCGCGUCGCCCUUGCGUUGCACUACUGCACGGGCCUGGCGCACCCCAC